rnacentral:lncRNA from 1 species
CGGAGAUGAGAAUGCUCAGGUGGAUGUGCGGGCUCACCAGGAUAGAUAAGAUUAAGAAUGAAGUUAUUCGAGAGAGGGCGAGGGAGGCCCCGGUGGAUGAGAAGAUGCGAGAAGCGAGGCUGAGGUGGUUCUGGCAUGUGCGGGGGAGAAGUCCUGAUGCCCCGGUGAGGAGUUGUGAACGGCUGGCGAUGGUCGGCGUUCGACGAGGCAGAAGGAGGCCUAAGAGGUGUUGGGGGAGGUGAUUAGGCAUGACAUGGCUAGAAUGCCGGUUUCCGAGGACAUGACCCUUGAUAGGGAAGUCUGGAGGUCUAGUAUCAGGGUUGUAGGAUAUGGGCUCCUAGAGUUUUCCCCGGUGGAUGAGAAGAUGCGAGAAGCGAGGCUGAGGUGGUUCGGGCAUGUGCGGAGAUGCCCCGGUGAGGAGUUGUGAACGGCUGGCGAUGGUCGGCGUUCGACGAGGCAGAGGGAGGCCUAAGAGGUAUUGGAGAGAGGUGAUUAGGCAUGUCAUGGCUAGAAUGCGGGUUUUCGAGGACAUGACUCUUGAUAGGAAAGUCUGGAGGUCUAGUAUCAGGGUUGUAGGAUAGGAGCCCCUAGAGUUUUCGUACUGCUCACCGGGGGUUGGGUGAGGUUUGGCAGGGUUAUCCAUAAAUGAUUUGUGUUUUGGAUUGUGUUUCCCCUAUGGUAGUUAUUUAUGAUAGUUACUGUAUGUUAUUAUUGCAUGCUAUUUUAUUUAUGAUUCUUAUGUUUAGAUAAUUAUUUACGCUAUUUCNNN